rnacentral:rRNA from 1 species
GACGAACGCUGGCGGCGUGCUUAACACAUGCAAGUCGAACGGUGAAGGGACCGGUUUUUGCUGGUUCUGGAUGAGUGGCGAACGGGUGAGUAACACGUGAGUAACCUGCCCCCUUCUUCUGGAUAACCGCAUGAAAGUGUGGCUAAUACGGGAUAUUCUGCGCCUGCUGCAUGGUGGGUGUGGGAAAGAUAUUGUUUCGGUGGGGGAGGGGCUCGCGGCCUAUCAGCUUGUUGGUGGGGUGAUGGCCUACCAAGGCGGUGACGGGUAGCCGGCCUGAGAGGGUGGACGGUCACACUGGGACUGGAACCCGGCCAGGACACCUACGGGCGUCAGCAGUGCCGAAUAGUGCACAAUGGGCGCAAGCCUGAUGCAGCGACGCCGCGUGAGGGAUGGAGGCCUUCGGGUUGUAAGCCUCUUUCGCCAGUGAAGCAGGCCUGUCCCUUUUGUGGGUGGGUUGACGGUAGCUGGAUACGAAGCGCCGGCUAACUACGUG